rnacentral:rRNA from 1 species
GUGGGGUAACGGCUCACCUAGGCGACGAUCCCUAGCUGGUCUGAGAGGAUGACCAGCCACACUGGUAACUGAGACACGGUCCAGACUCCUACGGGAGGCAGCAGUGGGGAAUAUUGCACAAUGGGCGCAAGCCUGAUGACAGCCAUGCCGCGUGUAUGAAGAAGGCCUUCGGGUUGUAAAGUACUUUCAGCGAGGAGGAAGGCACUGUGGUUAAUAACCACAGUGAUUGACGUUACUCGCAGAAGAAGCACCGGUCUAACUCCGUGCCAGCAGCCGCGGUAAUACGGAGGGGGCAAGCGUUAAUCGGAAUUACUGGGCGUAAAGCGCACGCAGGCGGUCUGUCAAGUCGGAUGUGAAAUCCCCGGGCUCAACCUGGGAACUGCAUUCUAAACUGGCAGGCUAGAGUCUUGUAGAGGGGGGUAGAAUUCCACGUGUAGCGGUGAAAUGCGUAUAGAUCUGGAGGAAUACCGGUGGCGAAAGCGGCCCC